UACGUAGGGUGCGAGCGUUAAUCGGAAUUACUGGGCGUAAAGCGUGCGCAGGCGGUUAUAUAAGACAGUUGUGAAAUCCCCGGGCUUAACCUGGGAAUUGCAUGUGUGACUGUAUAGCUAGAGUACGGUAGAGGGGGAUGGAAUUCCGCGUGUAGCAGUGAAAUGCGUAGAUAUGCGGAGGAACACCGAUGGCGAAGGCAAUCCCCUGGACCUAUACUGACGCUCAGGCACGAAAGCGUGGGGAGCAAACAGG
rnacentral:rRNA from 1 species